AGUGAGCGCUGGCGGUAGGCCUAACACAUGCAAGUCGAACGGCAGCACAGUAAGAGCUUGCUCUUACGGGUGGCGAGUGGCGGACGGGUGAGGAAUACAUCGGAAUCUACUUUUUCGUGGGGGAUAACGUAGGGAAACUUACGCUAAUACCGCAUACGACCUACGGGUGAAAGCAGGGGAUCUUCGGACCUUGCGCGAUUGAAUGAGCCGAUGUCGGAUUAGCUAGUUGGCGGGGUAAAGGCCCACCAAGGCGACGAUCCGUAGCUGGUCUGAGAGGAUGAUCAGCCACACUGGAACUGAGACACGGUCCAGACCCCUACGGGAGGCAGCAGUGGGGAAUAUUGGACAAUGGGCGCAAGCCUGAUCCAGCCAUACCGCGUGGGUGAAGAAGGCCUUCGGGUUGUAAAGCCCUUUUGUUGGGAAAGAAAAGCAGCAGGUUAAUACCCCGCUGUUCUGACGGUACCCAAAGAAUAAGCACCGGCUAACUUCGUG
rnacentral:rRNA from 1 species